CCACAAUGGUGGCAUUCUGCCGUCGGCUC
rnacentral:sRNA from 1 species